UACAGAGGUCUCAAGCGUUGUUCGGAUUCAUUGGGCGUAAAGGGUGCGUAGGCGGCGCGGUAAGUCGGGUGUGAAAUCUCGGGGCUUAACUCCGAAACUGCAUUCGAUACUGCCGUGCUUGAGGACUGGAGAGGAGACUGGAAUUUACGGUGUAGCGGUGAAAUGCGUAGAUAUUCGCAAGAACACCAGUGGCGAAGGCGGCUCACUGGCCCCGAUACUGACGCUGGAGGCACGAAAAGCGUGGGGGAGCAAACAGG
rnacentral:rRNA from 1 species